UGAGAGCCAUCGACCGAUGACCCCAAAGACUCUGAUGAUUGUGUUUCUGUUUCAAAUAAAGAAAUAUAUAAAUGACAACCUAUCAGGGGAAAUUCCCUUUACGUGCAAGCACGAUGGUGAUUAGGAAGAGUUGCAGGAAUCGAGACAUGGAGAGGAAGUUCAAUAUGGAAAUGGGGAUAUCAGGUGUCGUGGGAAAGAUCACUUCUGGAUCAUCAUCUGGAUCACUAUUGGUAGGUUGUUCUGAACGCGAGCAGUACGGUUAAAAAAUGACGGGUUGCAGUGGUAUGAGUUAUGCAAGUAACUCCCGAAUGAAUGAGUAAGAACACUGAGAAAGCCAUGUAGUCCUGUGAAAUUAAUUAUUAAGUUAAUUGGUGAACAAAUGUCUUUUUUUUUUUUUCCUUUCAACAUUAAGGAUAUCGAGAGUUUUGCACACAUCUUCGUCAGCCAUAAGCAUCGGAAACUUUUUGCUGUUGAGGACAUCCAAUUGUCUCAUGCAGAACAAUAUAUGAAAAUUGUAUUUAUUUCUUUAAUAAUGUGCGUGCCAUUUAGCUAAAAGUUGUUUUUAUUUUGCUGAUGCUUGAAGUGACCGAAGUACAAGGAUCAAGUCUUGGCUCAAACUUUCAUUUAGAUCGAAAAUAAAAUUAUUUUAUUUAGCAAUGUUUCUAGAACGAUCACGUCUAUUUAUGAUUAUAGUCUAGACUGUAAUCGAUAAACGUUAACUGCAAGUUUUAGAUUAAUGAGUUAUAA